rnacentral:rRNA from 1 species
GAGCGAGCCUCUGGGUCACCUCCCACCCGUGUUUAUUUACCUUGUUGCUUCGGCGGGCCCGCCUUAACUGGCCGCCGGGGGGCUCACGCCCCCGGGCCCGCGCCCGCCGAAGACACCCUCGAACUCUGUCUGAAGAUUGUAGUCUGAGUGAAAAUAUAAAUUAUUUAAAACUUUCAACAACGGAUCUCUUGGUUCCGGCAUCGAUGAAGAACGCAGCGAAAUGCGAUACGUAAUGUGAAUUGCAAAUUCAGUGAAUCAUCGAGUCUUUGAACGCACAUUGCGCCCCCUGGUAUUCCGGGGGGCAUGCCUGUCCGAGCGUCAUUGCUGCCCUCAAGCACGGCUUGUGUGUUGGGCCCCGUCCUCCGAUUCCGGGGGACGGGCCCGAAAGGCAGCGGCGGCACCGCGUCCGGUCCUCGAGCGUAUGGGGCUUUGUCACCCGCUCUGUAGGCCCGGCCGGCGCUUGCCGAUCAACCCAAAUUUUUAUCCAGGUUGACCUCGGAUCAGGUAGGGAUACCCGCUGAACUUAAGCAUAUCAAUAAGCGGAGGAA